rnacentral:lncRNA from 1 species
ACAUUUCUUUGCACUGGAGAAAUGAUCUCAUUAACAAACUAGUUCUGUGCGUCCUUAACACAGGCCCCUUGCCUGCAGCUGGAGCCAGCUCUCUGUUCAGCCCCAGUGCAGAGUGACACAGACAAGCGACAGCGUCGCUGAGCGCUAACUUCUAUUCCACCGAGGCAGACAGCGAAAACCAUUUCAGAACCAUGGCAAGGCAUGAGAGAAGCACAGGGAUAAAGUCAGUGAGAAAGAGUAUGAAGUACAUAUGGUCUUAUUGUCUACCUGGUAAAUAUUGCCCCAUCAUUUAAGAUUCAAGUCUUAUGCAUUCUAUGUGGUCUUUCUGAACCUACUUCUCCCCAGUAAUACCAUUAUCUCUCUCUCUCUCUCUGUCUCUCUCUCUCUCUCUCUCUCUCUCUCUGAUGCUUCUAAAAGAAUACAUGCAAAUGACUCCAUUUAUUAAGAAUACAAUCAUAUUUAUAUAUAUGUGUGAUUUUAAAAU